CCCACUGAGUUUAAGCAUAUCAAUAAGCGAAGGAAAAGAAACUUACAAGGAUUCCCUUAGUAACGGCGAGCGAACAGGGAGCAACCCAGCCUUAGAAUCGGGCAGCUCCGUCGUCCGAAUUGUAGUCUGGAGAAGCGUCCUCAGCGGCGGAUCGGGCCCAAGUCCCCUGGAAGGGGGCGCCAGCGAUGGUGAGAGCCCCGUUGUGCCCGGACCUUGUCGCACCACGAGACGCUGUCUACGAGUCGGGUUGUCUGGGAAUGCAGCCCAAAUCGGGUGGUGAAUUCCGUCCAAGGCUAAAUACGGGCGAGAGACCGAUAGCGAACAAGUACCGUGAGGGAAGGAUGAAAAGGACUUUGAAAAUAAAGUCAAAGAGUGCUUGAAAUUGUCGGGAGAGAAGUGGAUGGGGGCCGGCGAUGCGCCCCAGUUGGAUGUGGAACGACGACGAGCCGGUCCCCCAAUCGACUCGGGGCGUGGACCAGCGUGGAUUGGGGGGGCGGCCAAAGACCGGGCUCUCGAUACGCUCGUGGAACGCCGUCUCCUCAAUUGUGGCAGGCAGCGCGUGCCUCCGACGUGCUUCGGCAUCUACGCUCUCCGGACGCUGGGCUGUGGGCUCCCCAUUCGACCCGUCUUGAAACACGGACCAAGGAGUCUGACAUGUGUUCGAGUCAACGGGCGAGUAAACCCAUAAACUGCAAGGAAGCUGAUUGGUGGGAUCCCCCCGAGGGGUGCACCGACGACCGACCUUGAUCUUGUGAGAAGGGUUCGAGUGUGAGCAUACCUGUCGGGACCCGAAAGAUGGUGAACUAUGCCCGAGCGGGGCGAAGCCAGAGGAAACUUUGGUGGAGGCCCGCAGCGAUAUUGACGUGCAAAUCGUUCGUCUGACUUGGGUAUAGGGGCGAAAGACUAAUCAAACCGUCUAGUAGCUGGUACCCUCCGAAGUUUCCCUCAGGAUAGCUGGAGCUCGCGGGCGAGUUCUAUUGGGUAAAGCCAAUGAUUAGAUGCCUCGGGGGCGCAAUGCCCUCGCCCUAUUCUCAAACUUUAAAUAGGUAGGAUGGCACGGCUGCUUGGUUGAGCCGCACCGCGUAAUCAAGAGCUCUAACCUGUCGAUGCGGGAUGAAUCGAAAGCCGGGUUAUGGUGCAAAACUGCACGCUAACCUAGAUCCCACAAAGGGUGUUGGUUGAUUAAGACAGCAGGACGGUGGUCAAUGAAGUCGAAAUCCGCUAAGGAGUGUGUAAUAACUCACCUGCCGAAUCAACUAGCCCCGAAAAUGGAUGGCGCUUAAGUCGUAAGGCUAUAAUGGCGCCUAUAGAAAGGCGAGGGAUGGUUAAAGAUCUUCACCAGUUAGCUAGUUUGGGAGUUCGCCUUCUUGAAACUCCGAAUAAAGAGCUUAUCGUACAUAAU
rnacentral:ncRNA from 1 species